rnacentral:rRNA from 1 species
AGGGCAGCUACCCAGCGAUGGGAUGCGAAUCUCGAAAGCCUGUCUCAGUUCGGAUUGGAGGCUGAAACCCGCCUCCAUGAAGUUGGAUUCGCUAGUAAUCGCGCAUCAGCCAUGGCGCGGUGAAUACGUUCCCGGGCCUUGUACACACCGCCCGUCAAGCCAUGGAAGCUGGGGGUGCCUGAAGUUCGUGACCGGAAGGAGCGACCUAGGGCAAAACCGGUGACUGGGGCUAAGUCGUAACAAGGUAAC